GUCGAGCGAGAAAGGGAGCAAUCCCCGGUACAGCGGCGCACGGGUGAGUAACACGUAGGUAAUCUGCCUUCGAGUGGGGGAUAACCUUCCGAAAGGAGGGCUAAUACCGCGUAAGACCACGACCUCGCGAGGGGAUGAGGUCAAAGCCGGCCACUAUACAUAAGCUGGCGCUUGAAGAUGAGCCUGCGGCCCAUCAGCUAGUUGGUAGGGUAAUGGCCUACCAAGGCGUAGACGGGUAGCUGGUCUGGGAGGAUGAUCAGCCACACUGGAACUGAGACACGGUCCAGACUCCUACGGGAGGCAGCAGUGGGGAAUCUUGCGCAAUGGGCGAAAGCCUGACGCAGCGACGCCGCGUGGGUGAUGAAGGCCUUCGGGUUGUAAAGCUCUGUGGAGGGGGAAGAAUAAGGGCAGCCUAAUACGCUGACUGAUGACGGUACCCCUUUAGCAAGCACCGGCUAACUCUGUGCCA
rnacentral:rRNA from 1 species